AUGAUUUGUCUGGUUAAUUCCGAUAACGAACGAGAUCUUCCCCUGCUAAUAAGCGGUAAAUACAACAUAUUCUUAAGUAAAAAAGAAUAUAGAUAAAAAUAACAAAUAAGAGAAUAUAUUAAGAUGUUAUUAUAUAUAAUGUCUUCUUCCCUGUUCUUCUUGUAUGGUGUUUUUAUUCUAUUUCUUUUUUUACGUAAGAAUGUAUUUACUUGAUUGUAAAGCUUCUUAGAGGGACAUUGUGUGUCUAACACAAGGAAGUUUAAGGCAACAACAGGUCUGUGAUGUCCUUAGAUGAACUAGGCUGCACGCGUGCUACACUGAUAUAUAUAACGAGUUAUUAAAAGUAUAUCUUUGUAUAUAUAUAUUCUAUAUAAAUAUACAAAAGAUAUAAUUUUCCUCCACUGAAAAGUGUAGGUAAUCUUUAUCAAUAUAUAUCGUGAUGGGGAUAGAUUAUUGCAAUUAUUAAUCUUGAACGAGGAAUGCCUAGUAAGCAUGAUUCAUCAGAUUGUGCUGACUACGUCCCUGCCCUUUGUACACACCGCC
rnacentral:rRNA from 1 species